rnacentral:lncRNA from 1 species
UUACUAUGGUGAAAUAUAUAUAACAAAAUUUAGUUUUAACUGUUCUUAAGUGUACAGUGCUAAUUAACAAUGUUCAGUGUGUUGUACAACCAUUCUUGAAUUUUUCCAUCAACCCUGGCAUAAAUUCUGUACCUUUUAAAUAAUAACACUCCUCUUCCCCUUUCCCUCAGCCCCUGGUAACCACUGUUCUACUUUCUAUGAAUUUUCCUAGGAAUUUGCUUUUUUAAAGCUACUAUACUGGUCUGUGCUUCAUAAUCAGCAGCAAGAAAAAAUUCUCAGUGCUUUUGGAUCUUGUCUCAUUUGUUGAACAUUCUGGUAGGCAAGGGGUAAGGGAGGGACCUCAGAAUUGCUUUGAGGUUUGCUGAAAAAUAUGCCAACUUCAGUUUAUUGAUACCCUUAGUAUUGCUAAUAGGGUUUUCUCUUUGUUUUGUAGGACUUGGAUGUUGUUGGUGAUGGUAUGCAGUGCCCUCCUUCACCCUUGCUUUUUGAUCCUUCAUUAACCCUUGAAGAUCAUUCAAUCAAAGAAAUUGCUGAAGGCCCAGUGGAUAUCUUGGCAAGUGAAGAACAAUCCCAGUUAGCCUUCCAUCAUAUAGUGACCUGGUCAGGCAAAGCGAUCCUUGUUUGCUAACAUGUACUCCAGGGAGUGUGGGUCUCAUCACAAGUAGAGUAUAAAGAUGCCUGCCCCCAAAUAGCUUUUGUUUAAUGAAUACCAUACAAGGAAGGUAUUUUUAAUAAAUGUCAUUUUGAGGCUGGGUGUAGCUCAGUCACAUAUUAUAUUCCUUAUAAUAUGUGAGGCCCUGGGUUUCAUCCCCAGAACUGCAAAUGAAUAAAUGAGAGAAUGAAAGAAGCCUUUUUCUGCUUCUUAGUGCCAUUUUGCUCCAAUUUUCUAGAUGGACCUUAGAAUAAUGGUCCCUAGUUUUCAUAUUGAGGGUAGGACAUAAAUUUUUUUAAAUGAAAGGUUAAGACAAGAAAUGUAAGUAAAUUUUUUUCUUUUUUUUUUUUUUUUUUUGAUACUGGAGAUUGAACCCAGGCGUGCUCUGACCUACAUCCCAGAUUUUAUUUUGAGAUAGGGUUUUGCUAAAGUUGCUAAGAUUAACCUCGAACUUGGGAUCCUACUGCUUCAGCCUUCCAAGUUACAGAUGUGCACAACUAUGCUUGGCUAAAUUGUGCCGUUUAAGGGAGAGUUCAUUACUGGAAUUAUUCUCAUUGCAGAAUAAGCACCAGUAGUGUGAUUUGGCUUCUUUCUCUGAGGUUGGAUACCAGUGGCCCUGACUGAAGACCAGCAGUUACACUAUAGCUGUUGGUUUCAAGCAGAGGCCUAAAAAACUUAUCUUCUAUGGUUCAUUGGCUGUUCUGGGACCUUAGUCGAGAAUGGCUGUUUCAUUUGGAAGAAACAAUCCACGGUUGUCUCUUCCAUUGGGAGAGCUUCAAGAAUGCCAAGUAAUGAUUUCAGACUCUUUAAGAUUAGGCAGUAUUGGGAAGAGCAGCUCCCAGAGUUGUUUUAAUGUACUGAAUAUAAAUGGGAAUUGAUAGAUUCAUAAUUAAGGUUUCAGAGCAUCGAGAAUGAUUUUUUUUCCUUCAUGAGACUUAAAUUUUUUUUUUAAUUUUAUGUGUUCUUCUUAGAUAUACAUGACAGUAGAAUGUAUUUUGACAUAUUAUACAUACAUGGAGUAUAACUUACUCUAAGUAGGAUACAAUUUUUGUGGUUGAACAUGAUGUGGAGUUAGUUAUUUCUGUUUGUGUAUUCGUAUGUGAACAUAGGGAAUUUAUAUCUGAUUCAUUCUCCUGUCAUUCCUGAUUCCCCUCCCCAUCCUCCCUUCCAGUGAAUGCUUUACUAAUCAAAGUACCUUUAUUUCUUUAAUAGGGCCAGAUGCAGAUGGUUGGAGAUGGUUACAGGUCCCAGGGAUCUCGAAAUUCUGAGAAAGCCUGUGCACCAUUGCUUCAAAGUGGAUUGGCUACUGCAAAUGGAAAACCAGAAUCCACUCCUAGCAGUUGAUAGUUUGUUCUGGGAACCAUAUGACUUCCGUGGAUUUCACUUUCCCAUUCUUCAAACAAGUAUCUCUGAUCAUCUCUCACUAAACAGGGGCAACCCAGUUGUUUUGUUCUGGGUUAUAGAAUGUCGUAGUUAAAUAAAACCAUACUUAGGGGGAUGGGCCAGUAGUGUCAAAGUUGUGUUUCUUUCUACCAUGGGCAAGGAAGAUAGGGAUUACCUAUCUCUGAAAUUCAGUAUUUGGGACUGUGCCAAAGGGGAAAGUGAUUCUUUGUAAUGGGAUUUCUUAAGUCACAGAUAGAAAUCCACAUAGAUGAUUAGGUGAGGGUUGUUUUUAUAAAUGGUGCCGUUGAGAUAUUGGUUGCCCCAGUGCCUGGUUAUCUUUACCUAAAGGCCUACAGUUUAGCUUUUCCUCAUCUUCACUUAAUUGAACAGUUUGCACCCUUUCUCCAGUGAACUCCCAUCCUUAUCCUGAGACAGUUAAGGACUGGGCCCACCUUAACUAUUCAUCUUGCUUGUAAUCUAUGUAAAUUUCUGCAGUGGCUAUCUUAUGUAAAAUAUAGUAA